AUCUUAUCAAGAGCAGGUGGAGGGACUAGCCCUAUGAAGCCCGGCAACCGACUUAAUAGACUUAUUAAGCACGGUGCUAAAUCUUGCAGCAUAUUGCUGACAGAUAAGAA
rnacentral:ncRNA from 2 species